rnacentral:rRNA from 1 species
AUACGAAGGGGGCUAGCGUUGUUCGGAAUUACUGGGCGUAAAGCGCGCGUAGGCGGAUUGGUCAGUUAGGGGUGGAAUCCCAGGGCUUAACCCUGGAACAGCCUCUAAUACUGCCAGUCUUGAGUUCGGGAGAGGUGAGUGGAAUUCCUAGUGUAGAGGUGAAAUUCGUAGAUAUUAGGAAGAACACCAGUGGCGAAGGCGGCUCACUGGCCCGAUACUGACGCUGAGGCGCGAAAGCGUGGGGAGCAAACAGGAUUAGAAACCCUAGUAGUCC